UACGUAGGGUGCAAGCGUUGUCCGGAAUUAUUGGGCGUAAAGAGCUCGUAGGCGGUUUGUCGCGUCUGCUGUGAAAACCCGAGGCUCAACCCCGGGCCUGCAGUCGAUACGGGCAGACUAGAGUGCGGUAGGGGAGACUGGAAUUCCUGGUGUAGCGGUGAAAUGCGCAGAUAUCAGGAGGAACACCGAUGGCGAAGGCAGGUCUCUGGGCAUUAACUGACGCUGAGGAGCGAAAGCAUGGGGAGCGAACAGG
rnacentral:rRNA from 1 species